CCCCACGUGGCGGGGGAGCGGGCGGCGAGGCCGAGGGCCGCGGCCGGCCUGGGGGCGCCGGACGCCUUCCGCGGCCGGGCGGGCGGCGGCCCGGUUCAAGUCAUUAGGGAUUAAAUUUACAAAACGCACGCGCACUCAUUUAAAACAAGCCCAGAGAAGUAAAGUUUUGAAAGGAAACGCUGCAGAGUGGCUCCCCUCCGGCCCUGGCUCCAUCGGCUCCGCCGCACGGCUUUCAGCGCCUGUCCCCGUUUCCCAGGGGCGCGCCCGGGGCCCGGGCUGCCGCGGGGUCGCGGAGGGCUCGGGCGGGAAGGGAGGGAGCGGGGCCCGCGGCGGGGCGGUCCUCGGGGGGGGGGCCCGGGGCUGCACGGCGCGGGGGACGCGUCCCGGGGCCGCCGCCGCCGCCGCCGCCGCCGGGUCCUAGGCGGAGCAGAGAGCAGGAGGACGCGGAGCCGGGCCGCUGGAAGCCGGGGAGCCUCGGCGUCGCCGCCGGCCUGUGCAAACAGACGGACGACAGUGACAGCGCGCAGCCGGCGGGGGAAGGGUGGGAGGGGCCCCCGGGUGCCGGGGGAAUCCCCACCCCACGGCUCCAUCUCCCCCCGGUGCAGCUCUGCUGCCCGCGGACCCUUGGACCCAGGAGGCGGCUGGGUGACCCUCUUUCAAAGGCAGGGCAGCCCAGAGGAUUCCUGCCGUCGCCCCUAGGCACCCUGCGACCGUGGGAUUCUUGGAGAGUGUCACCUCUGCUAGAUUUCACUGGGACUCGCCACUGUCUGAUGAGAACAUCUGCCCAGUAUUGUAGAGGUUAUAGAGAAUGGAAAUGUUUAUAGCCCGAAAGGAAGAAAUAAGAAACCGUGUGUCCUAUCAGAGAAUGAAGAUCCUGGGCUAAAAACAAAAGCCUGAAAACACUGACAGAUGAAGCCCAGAACAUUUGGCUGAUCGUUGUAUAUUUGAUGAAGAUUUUGUGUCCUUAGUCUGAAAGACAUUGUAAAAUAUUAUAGAUUUAGUUUCUGCCGAUUCAGUUUCUUCCAAGUGAUCCGCUUAAUUUCACAGGUGUGGAGGUGGUUAGAAGUCCUCAUACUGGGUGGUAAAUAAAAUGAUUUCUUCUGUUACA
rnacentral:lncRNA from 1 species